GACGAACGCUGGCGGCGUGCUUAACACAUGCAAGUCGAACGGAAAGGCCCUGCUUUUGUGGGGUGCUCGAGUGGCGAACGGGUGAGUAACACGUGAGUAACCUGCCCUUGACUUUGGGAUAACUUCAGGAAACUGGGGCCAAUACCGGAUAGGAGCUCCUGCUGCAUGGUGGGGGUUGGAAAGUUUCGGCGGUUGGGGAUGGACUCGCGGCUUAUCAGCUUGUUGGUGGGGUAGUGUCUUACCAAGGCUUUGACGGGUAGCCGGCCUGAGAGGGUGACCGGCCACAUUGGGACUGAGAUGCGGCCCAGACUCCUCCGGGAGGCAGCAGUGGGGAAUAUUGCACAAUGGGCGGAGGCCUGAUGCAGCAGCGCCGCGUGCGGGAUGACGGCCUUCGGGUUGUAAACCGCUUUCGCCUGUGACGAAGCGUGAAUGACGGUAAUGGGUAAAGAAGCACCGGCUAACUACGUG
rnacentral:rRNA from 1 species